UACGUAGGGGGCAAGCGUUGUCCGGAUUCAUUGGGCGUAAAGAGCUCGUAGGCGGCUUGGCAAGUCGGGUGUGAAAACUCCAGGCUCAACCUGGAGACGCCACCCGAUACUGCCAUGGCUAGAGUCCGGUAGGGGACCACGGAAUUCCUGGUGUAGCGGUGAAAUGCGCAGAUAUCAGGAGGAACACCGGUGGCGAAGGCGGUGGUCUGGGCCGGCACUGACGCUCAUGCACGAAAGCGUGGGGAGCAAACAGG
rnacentral:rRNA from 1 species